UUUUUAAUGUGCUGUCCAGAUUUGUCAACAUAGGCUCUUAUUAUUGCUCUGGGCCCACCCAUUUGUUUUUAUGACUCUCCAGUAUUCUACUGAACUUGACUGUGAUGGUCAUGGAAGUAAUUUCUGAUUUUCCACUCCUAAAAUCCACGCUACAUAAAUAAGCUUGUAAACAGAGGUGCUUAUGAGUAUUUCUGCCAGACAGAUUUUUUAUUUCUUGUGCCUCCAUCAAAUGUCCCCACUAAAUGCAAAAAAGGAAAAGACUAUGAAGAUUUUCCUAGGGUCCCUCUCUGUCCCUUUGGAAAGGAUAGGCGAGGAGCCGUCUGCUGAGAAGCUGCUAGAGAAGACAAAUCUGUACUAUUUGCCCUCAGAAGAGGGGGAGCAGUUAGGAUGCAGGUGUGGAAUAAGAGCCAUUUGCUACAAACGGUGAGAAAAAUAGCUUGUGGGAGCCUUUGUUCCUUCAGAGGCGUAAUUGCCUUUGAUGGGCUGUUAAUAGGAGUCAUUAUGUGGUUAUUAAGAAGGGAAUGUGAUGAGCCCAGCUCUGAAUAGCUAAAUUCAGGGGGCUCCUGGUUUAAUCUUGUUUUUCCUCUGCACACAAGGAGUCCUGCUACUUACCUGGAAUCCCCUCGAAUCAGGGAAUUUGAACUUUGAGUCCAGUAGGUUGGGACAAUUCCUGAGGGUACCAAUUACUUCCUGGGGCACCUAAUGGUGGGGAGGAGGGGGGCAGCGUAGGGCAGGGGAAAGAAAAGGAAAAGGAAAGGAAGAGAUGAGAAGGGAGUUAGGAAGGGUGAUCAAGAGAUGGAGUGGAACUUCCCUGGUGGUCCAGUGGCUCCCAAGGCAGGGGACCUGGGUUUGAUCCCUGAUCAGGGAGCCCAUAUGCCACAACUAAAGACCUGGCCCAGCCAAAUAAAAUAAAUGUUUUUAAAAAGACAGAGAUGGAGUGAUGGAGAGAUGGGAGGAGAGAAGGCAAGGGAGAGAAAGAGUGGAACAGAGAAAAGCUGGAACAGAGUGAUAGUGAGCAGAAAGAAAAGUGCGCAGGAGGUAGGUGGGGGGAGAAAAGAAAAAUGAAAAGAACAUCAGCCCGUAGGGUAAAUUCUAGAGCCUGAAUUCCGGCUCAUGACCUGGGAAUGACCUCCAAAGGCUGAUCCUCCGGCCCACCCAGCCCUGCUGAUUUCAUUUCUAUAUUUAACAAGAUCCCUGGUAAUGACUCUGCAGGUUCAAGUUCGAGAAGCAUUGAUUUGAGCUCAGCGUGGGGCUUGGAGUGGCUCAUGCCAGGGCCUGGGGGACUCGCCGAGGAGGAGCAAGCUGGACAUGAUCUUGCUGAGAAGCUAGGUUAGAUGGAGAAAAAAGCCCAGGAGAGAAAUGAAGCAGAAGGAGCAAUUUGGUUCUGGGACUGUUUCCUGCCUGUGGAGGAGUCAGGGUUGCAUGAAGAAUACUUCACCUGAGUUUGAGGAGUUUGCAGCCACUUUCAGGGCCAGGAGGAAGUCACUGGUCUCCUCUGCAAAGUUACAAAGUUUCCAAGCGCACGCCUGGCCAGACUUUUCCUGGCUGCUCCUGGAGAUGUUUGGAAGUGAACGGCAGGUGUUGUGAUUGUUUUGCGAAGCACCUUGUGCAGCCCAGAAGAGAAUCUUUACUUCCUCCACACCUUCCAGUCCAGGGCCACGCCAGUAUGUGCAGACAAUGGUUUGGCGGGGACUGACCACAGACUCAGUCCCACACAGCUUUAGAUACAUUCAAAAGGUCGUCUUGACCUUGGACCUGGAGAUGCUUCAGAGCCUCUGCCACCUGUUGGGGGCUUCUCAGGCAUCCAUGGUUCAACUGACACAGGCAAAGUCUAGAUUCCUCCGUGUGGUGCCCUUGGCCUUCCAGGACCUGGACUGCCUGGCCUUCAGACCUCCCUGUACUGGCCUCGGAGGCCCUCCCUACCCCCAGCUCACUGCCGCAGCCCCCAGGACCACAGUGUGCUGUGUUUGCAGGUAUUUGGGAGAGGUGGUCUCCCUGCCUAGCAAGCUGGCUCCACCCCUCGCCCUCCUUAGUCCACCAUGGGGCCCACGACUCUCAGGCAGGUCUUUGUCCUAGUGGGCAAAGUCCUGUCUUUGUCCUAGUGGGCAUCUGCCAGCAACUUACCAUCCUCCUCCGAGAGGCUGCUUUAGGCUCUGGGUGUUCAGCAUCUUUAGUUUCCGGAAUAUACAAGACACAGUGAGUGAAGAAAGCUUCCUCCUUCUCAAAAUGCAAAGGGCUCCCUCCAAUUGUUUCCUAGAAUUAAAAAAAAAAAGUAUUUAUCUGGCUGCAUCACGUCUUAGCUGCAGCAUAUGGGAUCUUCAUUACAUGAAUUCUGAUCUUUUGUUGCAGUGCCCCGACUCUAGUUUUGCUGCUCCGGCUCAGUAGCUCUGAGGCACGUGGGAUUUUAGUUCCCAACCAUGGAUCCAACCCAGGUCCUCUGCAUUGCAAGU